CCUAAACACAUGCAAGUCGGACGGUAGCACAGAGGAGCUUGCUCCUCGGGUGACGAGUGGCGGACGGGUGAGUAAUGUCUGGGAAACUGCCCGAUGGAGGGGGAUAACUACUGGAAACGGUAGCUAAUACCGCAUAACGUCGCAAGACCAAAGUGGGGGACCUUCGGGCCUCACACCAUCGGAUGUGCCCAGAUGGGAUUAGCUUGUAGGCGGGGUAACGGCCCACCUAGGCGACGAUCCCUAGCUGGUCUGAGAGGAUGACCAGCCACACUGGAACUGAGACACGGUCCAGACUCCUACGGGAGGCAGCAGUGGGGAAUAUUGCACAAUGGGCGCAAGCCUGAUGCAGCCAUGCCGCGUGUAUGAAGAAGGCCUUCGGGUUGUAAAGUACUUUCAGCGGGGAGGAAGGUGCUGAGGUUAAUAACCUCAGCAAUUGACGUUACCCGCAGAAGAAGCACCGGCUAACUCCGUGCCAGCAGCCGCGGUAAUACGGAGGGUGCAAGCGUUAAUCGGAAUUACUGGGCGUAAAGCGCACGCAGGCGGUCUGUUAAGUCAGAUGUGAAAUCCCCGGGCUUAACCUGGGAACUGCAUUUGAAACUGGCAGGCUUGAGUCUCGUAGAGGGGGGUAGAAUUCCAGGUGUAGCGGUGAAAUGCGUAGAGAUCUGGAGGAAUACCGGUGGCGAAGGCGGCCCCCUGGACGAAGACUGACGCUCAGGUGCGAAAGCGUGGGGAGCAAACAGGAUUAGAUAU
rnacentral:rRNA from 1 species